UGCAUACAUACAUACAUAUAUAUAGUGAAGUGAUGCUUUCUUUUGAGCUGAAGGUAAGGGAAGACAUGAGGACAGAACUAAAUAUUACAGUAUUAACUAAGAUGUCGUGAUGAACACCAUCCAGAACAGCAAACUGAGGAGGAAAGGCUUUCGUGAGGUUUAUACGUCCACAUCACUGUUCCUUGAAGGGAACCAAGACAGUAAUUCAAGCAGGGUACGAAUCUGUAGGUAGCACGUAAUGCAGAGGUCAUGAAGGGGUGUUGCUUACUGGCUUGCUCCCCGUGGCUUCCUCAGUGUGUUUUCUAAUAGAACCCAGAACCACAAGGGUAGCCACACCCACAAUGGGCUGAGCACUCCCCCACCAAUGACUAUUAUGAAAAUACAGACUUUCGUACAGCCAGAUCUUAUGAGGGCACUUUUUCAACUGAGUCUCUUCUCGCUGAUGACUAGACCUGUGUUAAGUUGACGUAAAACUUCCCUACCCAAUUGACCCAUCAUCGCUGUUAAGCCAUAACCAUUUCUCUUUUCUUUCACACGUCAAUAUGUAAUCACAAUAAAGUUCAGUCAUCUCUAAGUGUCCCACAGUCUCUACAAAUUCCAAAACUGUACAAUUCAGCCCAUUUAAAAAAUCGCAGGUCUCUUUUAAAACUUAAAAUUCAGUCCCUCAAAUAUGGGUCCCUAUUAAGAAAAAAUCAAAAUAAAUUUCAUACUGCCUUAAUCCAAGAGGGAAGAACAAGGGAACAGUCAAAAUCAGAUCAAAGUAAAACCAAACCUCACGUCUGUGAAUUACUCGGUAUUUAAUGUAAUUUAAGGAUUCACUCACUCUUUUCCAGGCUCCUCCAGAGGGCUUGACACACUUAGCAGGUUCUACCCUCUGCAGCAUAUAGAGCGCGUCUGUUAGCCUCUAGGUGACUGCAUUUUAUAGUUGCUGCUAUUCUCCGUGCUCGUCCCAUGGUACUGGCUCCUCCAAAAUGCUGGAAUCUUCCAUCGCACUGGACCGCACUGUCACUAGUAGCUUCUGUAGGUUUUCUUCAUGGAGGCAACUCUUAACUUCUCCGUAUGAUCUCUUUAUAGACUUGUGUCUUCAACCGGUACAGUCUUCACAUUCAUCAAGGGCUACUUCUAGACUGCCACAGUGUCAAGUGUUACUGCUCUCCAUGACUCCACCGUGGGCUCCCCACCACACCCCCAUCACACGCUUUCAUACUUCCAGAUUCUACGAAGGCAUUUUAUUCAUUAAGGCUCCUUGCACUCUGAUGACUCUAGUUUGUAGCAUAAAAGUAGCCAGCACAGAUGCCAUUAGUACGCAUGGUGUUCAGUAAUUUGUCUUAGUCUAACACCUACCUGUAUCCAUAUUUGGGUGGGUACACAUGGCACCUUUACAGAUCAGAGAAACUCUUAGGGAUCCCUUUCUUCCUAUACCUUGUGGGUCUGUAACUCCUGAUCCAACUCGACAAGACCAGAAUUGUGUUUAUUCUUAAUUUGAUGUGAAUUUGCGAGUAUUUAGACGUUAUUUUGUUCCAGAUUUUAGGAUUCCAAAGGUGAUAAUUUUGACUUGUGCACUCUUUAAUACAGGAAACAAGUUCACUGAGGUUCCAAGUAAAAUCUUAAAGUAUGCAGAAACAAGAUAAAAACAUUAUAAAAACACUGAUCUGGUCAAAAAUGUUCCUUUUGUAGAAACCGGAAGAAUUUAUAGUUACAUUUAUCCAAAAGUAUCGUAUUUGUCCAGGUAAAGUAUUUAUCCAGUCGUGUCAAAUCCUCAGUUACAACUCUUAGAAGUGGAGAACCGUUUAUUAGGUUUACUUUGUGGAAAUGUCAUUCAUGCAUAAUGCUCAUCCUGGUUUAUUAAAGUCAAGUCCCCUAUCUCCCUCGAAUGUCUGUCAGCUCUCUCCUGUCUACACAACUCCGUUCUUCCAUCAGGAGACGUCGGUUGUUGGUUCUCAUUCCUGUCUAGUUUUGUUUUCUUUUGAGACACACAUAAUUUAGCCGAGCUUUUGCAGGACCGCAGGUUUGGGGCUAUCCUUUAGGAGCCUCGUCGACUCCUCAUUAAGUCCUGACUGAAGACAGUGAUUGCCCCUCCCUCGGAAUCCAUUAGUAGCCUACAGUUCAGCAGGCAGGGUAGGGCCCUAUAAGUUCUGCAGACCUGCGGACGUAAUAAAGGAAACUCAUAAAAGGCCAAUGGGAUGGGGGGCCCUUCAUGCAGGAGCCAUAGCAUAAUGUAUGAUGUACGCCAAGAGAAAGGAGAAAUUUGGGGGUGGGAUUUUGUGUGUGUGUGUGUGUGUGUGUGUGUGUGUGUGUGUGUGUGUGUGUGUAGCUUAGGGAUGGAAGACGUAAGGGGAGCGAAAAGGUUACUAACUUUGAUUUUACAGAAUAAAUUAAAGGGGGACACUGCUAAAUGUAAGAAACCUUUAUUUCUCCCAAACAUCAGUGUCCUGGGGGAAUCAUGUAAAAACAGACCAGUGAUGGGUUGGUCAGUGUCGCUGUCUGUCCUUUGUCUGUCUGCCUGCCUGCCUCCCAUUCCUCCCUUCCUCACUCCCUCUCUCUCUUCCAUAACUUCAAAAAAUAACUUAAUUGCACAUGUCCCUGAAAUUGCCUCAAAAUAGAGCCUCCUCUAUAGCUUAUAAAAAUAAAUAAAAAGUAAAAUUUCCAAUGAUAAUGAGCUAUUAGCAUUUCACUAUUUUCAAUUAAAAUAGAGUCAGUACCUGAUGAAUACCCAUCAAUAAAUUUAAUAUCUAUCCAUUUUAAGUCACUUAAAAAUUAAAGAAGUGAAUUUCAAGUCAAUGCACUACAAAAUUAUGCUAAAAACAAUUUUAUUUAAUUAAAAUACUGAUUAAGUUUGAUCAAAGGAACAUAAAAAUAAGAUAUAAUAUGAAGUAGUAAUCAUUCUCAAUUACUUAUUAGUAAGUGUGAGCAUUAUCGAAAUGGAUUACAAAUGAUCAGGUGUGUUACACUUACUACAAUAAAUCUGAGAAGAUCCAGCUGUUUUUAUUAAACCCACAAUUUUGCUGUAGUUUUGCAUGUCAAGAAGUACCUACAUAAGGUCAAUUUGAGCUUGUAAAAUGCCUCUCGGUUGACUUUUAUAAGCAUUUAUUUUAAUUAAGGGUAUUUAAAGUGUUAGAAACACAACACUUUCUGAGAAUUUGAGGAUUCGUGUAUGUAAGUACUUUUACUGUGCAAGCUUGUUAGGACAAUACUCCUUCCUGUUUCAGAGACUGUCUAAUUCAGUCAUUGAUAUCAUGACAGUGGGACUGGAUCGAUGGCUCAGUACUUAAGAGUACUUGUCAGUCUUGCAGAAGACCUGAAUUUAGUCCCCAGCAUCCACUUCAUCUUUGUCCUUUGUACCUUUGUCUUGGACCUCUAGCCCCAAGGGCAUCUGACACCCUCUUCUUGUCUCUGUUGGGACCUAUGCUCACCCAGACACAUACCUACCCACAGAUACACACACAUUGUUAAAAACAUAAUAAAUCUUUAAAAACUUCAUCAUGUGUAGUUGGGAAAACACUGUACAAAUGCAUUGAGAGUGGCUUUCCCGUGGAACCAAGCCUGUGACAGGUAACUGAAGAGUUGCAGCCGGGGGUUUAAAACGAACACAGAAACACAGAAGUCUCUUAUCAGAUCAAGUUGCAAAGAACAGUUUUUCUCGUGUAUACUGUUCUCGAGUAAUUGUGCUCAAAACAGGCAGUUAGGAGUGAAGAAGAACUUCUGUUUGUCUUAUGUCUUAAUCUGCUGUAAUUUACACAUAACUUAAGUCUUAAAGCGUUCACACGGCAUUUGUCUUUAACGUCAUCAGCCUCUGAUGACGUCAGAUGCCUGCUGGGCAGCCUUUGUGUUUCAUUCUGUGACUGAAUGCCCAAAGCAUUGUUGGAAGGCAGUACCUGACUCCUGCAUGUGGUCCUAUGACCUCCACACAUGUGGACACGCCCCUUUACCAUCUUAACCUUCCCCAACAUACAUAUACUAAACAGAUGAUAUCCUGGUGUGUACCUGUGUUGGGAGAGUAGCUGCCUAGCCUAGGUGAAGCCCUGGGUUCUAUCCCUAGCACUACCUAAAACUAGCUUGAUGGCAUAUACCUGUAAUAAAGAAGGCCAGCCUAGCAGGCUUUCCGUCACAGCUCGAAGGCUGCAGAAGCAAUACCCCUGGCAACCGUUGACUGUGGCGGUGUCCUCCAGUAUAGAGACCAGACUGUGCAAACUAGAAAACCAGCAUGGCCUACACGAGCACAUGCCUCUCUACAUCUUACCUGUGCUUUCUUAAGCUGGCAGCAUCCAUAUAGUCUCAAGCGAGAGUCCUCGCAUGUGCAAGACACGGGACUCGAGUAGUGAAGGACAGUGUUGCCUGACAGGAUUUCAACAAGUUCAGCGAUGAGCCCUGUUUGUUCUCGUCUGCCUUGAAGGAGUUUUAAGCCUCAGCAGCGUAAGAAGGCCCUCAAAGACUCAUGUAAUUGCCCGUGUUAGGAGAAGACUAAGCGUCUUUGUUGGGGUUUCAGAAUGAAAUGACCCUCAACGGCUUGGUUUUCCGUUCAUGGCACUAAGGAGGUUAUGAGACCUUUUGCAGGUGGAACCUUGCUAAAGGAAAUGUCUUAGUAGGGGUUGUAUAGUAUAGACAAUGUAUACUGAGUUUUUAUUUGAGUUUAUGUAGGAUGACAUGACUUCCUGCUUUCUCACUUCCCUUCAUCAUCUAUGUGAGAAGUCUCAUCAGCCAGCUUCCUGACUUCCAUACUGGGCUCAUGCUCUUCCUGCCAUGUCUUUUGUACCCCAAUGGACUGUGCCCCUUCUGGAAAUGUAAGUCAAAAUAAUCCUUCUCUUUUCUAACUUCCUUUUUGUUAGGGUGUUUGAUCAUGGAAAAAGAGAAAUGACUGAUCUAUUUGGGAAGCACCGAGUGAUUCAGAGGUCUGCAGUUGUUAGGAAGAACUAAGUGACUAUCCCUUGCGUUCAUGCAAGCUACCUGCAGCCCCGAGGAAGAACCACCUGAAAGUAGUAGGAUGUGUGUGUGCCCACACACAGACAGACAGACACACGUGCGCCCACACAUAGACAGACAGACACACGUGCUCCCACACACAGACAGACACACGUGCGCCCACACACAUUCAUGCACACACGCAUCACUACUGAUGCAGAUGUCAGUAUUCCCUGAAAGAUAUCUGAAAAGUUAUUAUGAUUGUAUUCCAAGUAUUCAAAAAUCUCAAUUCAGUAAGACUAAAAUUAAACUUAUAGAAUAAAAAACUACACAUAAUGUUAAAGGAAGAAACCAGGAGGUUGACAGCAGGCUAGGGUGUGUUACAGACUGGUGACAGUGGUGACAGUGAAGGCACUUCAGUAGGAGCUGUUCUCAGUGAAUCAUGGAGAAGAAAAUUCUUUUAAUGGGGAGAGCAGUGAACUGGGCGACAGCUUCCAAAUAAUAUAUAACUGGAAUUUUCAAAGAAAAAGAAGAAUAUUUAGAGAAGUAAUAUCUAUAAAAUUUCCAGAUUUAGAAAGAGAAAAUCACAAGUAUUUACAGGUUAUUUAAAGAACCAAAACUAUGAUGACUAGUCAGGUGGUUUAUCCCUUAACUCCUUGAACUAAGGAGACAGAGGCAGGUGGUCUCAGAGCUUGGAGUCAGCCUGGUCUGGGACAGUGUUGGCCAUACGAAGAAAUGCUGUCCUAAAAAGCCAAAAAUAAAAUAGGGGAGUCGUGGUGAUGCAUGCCUUUAAUUACAGUACUCAGGAGGCAGAAGCAGGUAGAUCUCUGUGACCUGAAGGCUAGCUGGUCUAUAUAGCAAGUUCAGGCCUUCAGGGAAUAAAUAGGAAGACUCUACCUCAAGUCACACACACACACGCACACAAAAACCAAACAAACAAAACUUGAAAAAUCAAAGGAAGGCUGAGAUGUCUAGCAUAUGUAUAACCCCAGGUUUGAGCCCAGCGCUGGAAGGAGAAGGAGGAGGAGUUGCACUUCACCCAUGAUUUCAGUGGUUUCACUUCAGGCUUGACUGACUGUUACUUCAGGCCAGGGCAAGGUGGAAGAUGGCAACUGGGUGGUGUUCAUGAGAAUUGCUUCCCAAAUGCUGGCACGAGAGUGAAACAAUGACAAGAGGAACUGGGGACAGAGUGUUAUUUUUCCAUGGCACAGCUACAGUGUUCCAGUUCUCCAAGCCAGGCUCCGGUUGCCUGCACUUGGAUCCAGGAAUCUAACUAUGAACUAUGUCAGCCCUCAGGAUCCUCCCACUUCCCCCACAGCCCAUCACAUGGCAAGCAAGCCUUGCAAAAAUGAGUUUUUAUUUCAGACUCAAACAGUAACACGCACAUUGGAGUGUGUCUCUCCAAUGACACUGACAGGAGAGUUGAGUGAUAAUUUCACCUAGAAUUCUGAAUAUUCAUCUGAUAAGGUGAAACUCAUCAGAUAAAAGAAAAUGGUAGCAAAAGAAUCUUAAUGUCUAGUAAGAAGAAAGGAAAAUUUCAAAAGUGGGCAGAACGUUCCAAGGGGGUAGUCCAGUUAAAAGAUAACACAGAAUCAGGUGAGCCUGUCUUUAAGUGGUUUAAGGAACACAAGUGAGAAGCACGGCGUAUGUAUAAAGGACAUUCACUUUGAGAAACAGAUAGAUAAAAGGCUGGGAGAUGGCUCACUGGAUCAAGUACUCACUCUGUAUGCAUGAGGACCUGAGUUCAAAUCCCAGCUCCCACAUAACUAUCACCCCAGCUCUGGGGGACAUAGAUGGCAGGAUCUUAACUUGCUGGUCUGCCAGUGUAGACAAAAUGGUGAGCUGCUGGUUCAGCGAGAGACCCUGCCCUUAAAGGGAAGGGAGAGACAAGGAUGGUGACAUCAAAAGACAAAGAAGCAAAGAAAAUUUUCACAUAGCCAGAUUAGCAAAGUUUAGACUUUAAAUUCAUUUGUCUUCCUAUAGCUCAUUUAUGUAGCAAUCAAAUACCUUUAACAACUAGAAAAAUUACUUCACAAUGUGUGUCACGAUGUGAGGUGCAUCCCCUCUGUGCCGGGUAGUAAAAGUGAGAGUCGUAACGUUUAGUUCUUUUCUGUCCUUGACAAGGUAGCACAAAACCGCAUUGUGACAAAUGUUAAAAAUGCAUAUUUCCAUCAGAGGGAUAUCUCGUGUUCUUUUGUUAAGUGUUUGGAGAUGCAUGAUUGAGGCUUCUGAAGGAAAUAACACCCAAGUUUUCAGGAACACACACACACACACACACACACACACACACACACACACACACACACACACACACACACACACACCAGCAGCCUUUUAUGCCUUGGCUCAGAGUUGCUGCGUGAUGCAAUGUAGGCCACCAGAUUGAAUUACUCCACCGAGCAGCCGCUGCCCUGUGUUAAUGGUAAUUGCACAGAGACUGCAGUCUUUCUGGGCAACAUCUCAGAUAUUUACCUCCUACCGUUUUUCAAUUCAAACCUUUGAUGAAAAUAUUCCCAGUCCUUCUUU
rnacentral:sRNA from 1 species